AGAGUUUGAUCCUGGCUCAGAACGAACGCUGGCGGCGUGCUUAACACAUGCAAGUCCAACGUGAAAGGGGAGCAAUCCCCCGGUAGGGUGGCGAACGGGUGAGUAAUACAUGGGAAUCUGUCCUGGAGAUGGGGAUAUCCUUCCGAAAGGAGGGUUAAUACCGAAUAUCGUCCGGGUGACGGGAGUCACUUGGGGAAAGGGAGGCCUCUGGCAACAUGCUUCCGCUCCGGGAGGAGCCCAUGGCCCAUCAGCUAGUUGGUAGGGUAACGGCCUA
rnacentral:rRNA from 1 species